GCGCCCAUAGCUCAAUUGGUAGAGCAUCUGACUCUUAAUCAGGGGGUUGUAGGUUCGAUUCCUACUGGGCGCA
rnacentral:tRNA from 1 species